rnacentral:rRNA from 1 species
CAAAAACAUAGCUAUAAGAACAAAUUAUAAAUAGUGACGCCUGCUCAAUGAUUGAGUAAUAACCCAUAAAAACAAUUCAAUAGCUGCGGUAAUACCUGACCGUACAAAGGUAGCACAACAAAUAGCCUAAUAAUUACAGGAUCGCAUGAAGGCAAAACGAAACUUUAACUGUCUCAAGAAAUCCAAAACUAAAAUAGAAUGUAUGUGAAAAUCCACACUCAAGCGGCAAGACGACAAGACCCUAAAAACUUUACCAAAAGUUUUAAAUAAUAAACCAAUAACGUUAUCACUUACUAAAUAACAAUAAACUUAAAACUAAAGUUUCGUUGGGGCAACGAUCUCAAAAAUAAUAAAUAAGAUUUAUACAAUCCUCUAACCUAUAGACCAAUAAGUUAACACCUAGAUAAGACCCAUUAAACACUACAAGUUAAUGAACAUAAAAUAAAAGCUCUUUAGGGAUAACAGCGUAAUAUUGUUAACAAAGAUCCACUCAAACAAUGUUUGCGACCU